rnacentral:rRNA from 1 species
AUUGAACGCUGGCGGCAUGCCUUACACAUGCCAGUCGAACGGCAGCACGGGUGCUUGCACCUGGUGGCGAGUGGCGAACGGGUGAGUAAUACAUCGGAACAUGUCCUGUAGUGGGGGAUAGCCCGGCGAAAGCCGGAUUAAUACCGCAUACGAUCUACGGAUGAAAGCGGGGGACCUUCGGGCCUCGCCCUAUAGGGUUGGCCGAUAGCUGAUUAGCUAGUUGGUGGGGUAAAGGCCUACCAAGGCGACGAUCAGUAGCUGGUCUGAGAGGACGACCAGCCACACUGGGACUGAGACACGGCCCAGACUCCUACGGGAGGCAGCAGUGGGGAAUUUUGGACAAUGGGCGAAAGCCUGAUCCAGCAAUGCCGCGUGUGUGAAGAAGGCCUUCGGGUUGUAAAGCACUUUUGUCCGGAAAGAAAUCCUUGGCUCUAAUACAGUCGGGGGAUGACGGUACCGGAAGAAUAAGCACCGGCUAACUACGUG